rnacentral:rRNA from 1 species
AAUCAACGCUGGCGGCGUGCCUAACACAUGCAAGUCGAACGCGAAAGUCCCGCAAAGGGAUUAGUAGAGUGGCAAACGGGUGAGUAACACGUGGGUGACCUACCUUCGAGUGGGGGAUAACCUUCCGAAAGGAGGGCUAAUACCGCAUGACAUCCCAUGUUUGGAUACAUGGACAUCAAAGCCCGGGGAUCGCAAGACCUGGCGCUUGAAGAGGGACCUGCGCCCGAUUAGCUAGUUGGUGAGGUAACGGCUCACCAAGGCUUCGAUCGGUAUCCGGCCUGAGAGGGCGGACGGACACACUGGAACUGAGACACGGUCCAGACUCCUACGGGAGGCAGCAGUGGGGAAUUGUUCGCAAUGGGCGCAAGCCUGACGACGCAACGCCGCGUGGAGGAUGAAGACUUUCGGGUCGUAAACUCCUUUCGACCGAGAUGAAAAGCCUGCGAUCUAAUAGGUCGCAGGUCUGACAGUAUCGAGAGAAGAAGCCCCGGCUAACUCCGUGCCAGCAGCCGCGGUAAUACGGGGGGGGCAAGCGUUGUUCGGAAUUACUGGGCGUAAAGGGUCUGUAGGUGGCUUGCUAAGUCAGACGUGAAAUCCCUCAGCUUAACUGGGGAACUGCGUCUGAGACUGGCGAGCUUGAGGGCAGGAGAGGAACGCGGAAUUCCAGGUGUAGCGGUGAAAUGCGUAGAUAUCUGGAGGAACACCGGUGGCGAAGGCGGCGUUCUGGACUGCAUCUGACACUGAAAGACGAAAGCCAGGGGAGCAAACGGGAUUAGAUACCCCGGUAGUCCUGGCCCUAAACGAUGAAUGCUUGGUGUGGCGGGUAUCGAUCCCUGCCGUGCCGUAGUUAACGCGAUAAGCAUUCCGCCUGGGGAGUACGGUCGCAAGGCUG